rnacentral:rRNA from 1 species
GAGAGGAUGAACAGCCACACUGGAACUGAGACACGGUCCAGACUCCUACGGGAGGCAGCAGUGGGGAAUCUUGCGCAAUGGGGGCAACCCUGACGCAGCGACGCCGCGUGAGCGAUGAAGGCCUUCGGGUUGUAAAGCUCUGUGGAGAGGGACGAAUAAGUGCCACCUAAUACGUUGCAUGAUGACGGUACCUCUUUAGCAAGCACCGGCUAACUCUGUGCCAGCAGCCGCGGUAAGACAGAGGGUGCAAACGUUGUUCGGAAUUACUGGGCGUAAAGCGCGUGUAGGCGGCAAUACAAGUCGGAUGUGAAAUCCCGCGGCUUAACCGUGGAAGUGCACCCGAAACUGUAUCGCUAGAGUCCCGGAGAGGAUGGUGGAAUACUUGGUGUAGAGGUGAAAUUCGUAGAUAUCAAGUGGAACACCGGUGGCGAAGGCGGCCAUCUGGACGGUGACUGACGCUGAGACGCGAAAGCGUGGGUAGCAAACAGGAUUAGAUACCCUGGUAGUCCACGCCGUAAACGAUGAGUGCUAGGUGUCAGAGGCUUUGACCCUUCUGGUGCCGAAGCCAACGCGUUAAGCACUCCGCCUGGGGAGUACGGUCGCAAGACUAAAACUCAAAGGAAUUGACGGGGGCCCGCACAAGCGGUGGAGCAUGUGGUUUAAUUCGACAACGCGCAGAACCUUACCUGGGCUAGAAAGUGUAGGAACCUGGUCGAAAGAUCGGGGUGCCCUUCGGGGAAUCUACAGUUAGGUGCUGCAUGGCUGUCGUCAGCUCGUGUCGUGAGAUGUUGGGUUAAGUCCCGCAACGAGCGCAACCCUUGCCGUUAGUUGCCACCAUUAAGUUGGGCACUCUAACGGGACUGCCGACCUUUAAGUCGGAGGAAGGUGGGGAUGACGUCAAGUCCUCAUGGCCCUUAUGUCCAGGGCUACACACGUGCUACAAUGGUCGGCACAAUGGGUCGCGAACCCGCGAGGGGGAGCCAAUCCCAAAAAAACCGGCCUCAGUACGGAUAGGAGUCUGCAACUCGACUCCUUGAAGUCGGAAUCGCUAGUAAUCGCUGAUCAGCAUGGCAGCGGUGAAUACGUUCCCGGGCCUUGUACACACCGCCCGUCACACCAUGGGAGUUGAUUGCUCCAGAAGUGCCUACGCUAACCCGCAAGGGAGGCAGGGCCCCAAGGAGUGGUUGGUAACUGGGGUGAAGUCGUAACAAGGUAGCCGUAGGGGAACCUGCGGCUG